CCUUGAUCCACCACCUUCUGGUUAUUAUUUCACUUUGUUCACAUUCCGGGGACAUACAAUCGGCUGAUUUUAUCUUCUCUAACUACAUUUCUGCUUCAGAGGCUUUACUUGGUGGGAAUCAUCUUCCAGACUCCCCAAAGCUGGCUUCUGCCCAACUCACAAACCUCAUCUCACAUGUUGCUCUUUUCCCCUCUUUCACCAGUUCCAGGCACACAGACUUCCUGUCAGUUCUUGGUCAAGCAAGUUCUCGUCCACCUGAGGACCUUGUCCUUGCCUGUUCUUCCGUCUGCCUGGAAGGCUUUCUUCUGUCUUCUGUGCCUGGCUCCUUCCCCACCUUCCGGCCUCACUUGAGAUGUGAUCUUCUCUGACCAUCUUAGCUGAAGUUGGCCUCCUCUCCCUUAAUCUCCAUUGAGCUAAACAGUUUCUUUCAUCUAGAACUUACUAUAGUAAUUAUGUGUUUACUAGUUCACUGUCUGGAAUCGUUUACCCUAGAGCAGUCUACGAUGUAAAGCCAGGAUGGUCAAACUACAGCGCAAGCUUUGUUUUUGCAAAGCUCUGGAGCUUCCCUCUCUGCUGGUCACUCAUUCUUCUCUCUCCUGCUGCCAUAUGAAAAAGGACCCGUUUCCUUCCCCUUCUGCCAUGAUUGUAAGUUUCCUGAGGCCUCCCCAGCCCUGCAGAACUGGACCUGGGAGUGCGACAUGGUGGCCUCAGGGGAAAAGGGCUCUCGUCUAGACCUUCUGACUGUCCUCUGGAUCUUCCUGGUGUCCAUGCGGGGCUGCUGCUCUGGGCUGGCCCCAGGGCCUUUGGCCAGUGUCCAUGAGAUAUUUUUCAGACCCGGAAUUCCAGCAACCAGUUUGACAACUCCUACAGAGAAACAGGAUCCACAUAAGGAUACAGCUUCUUCAUAUCCCUGUCCCAUGACUUCACCCUGCGUUCUUCAACCAAUCAAUGUGUCAGGCCUCUGAGCCCAGGCCUGCACGUAUACAUCCAGAUGGCAUGAAGUAACUGAGGAAUCACAAAAGAAGUGAAACUGGCCGGUUCCUGCCUUAACUGAUGACAUUACCUUGUGAAAUUCCUUCUCCUGGCUCAUCUGGGCUCAGAAGCUCCUCCACUGAGCACCUUGUGACCCCCCACCCCUGUCCGCCAGAGAGCAACCCCCUUUGACUGUAAUUUUCCACUACCUACCCAAAUCCUGUGAAAUGGCCCCACCCCAUCUCCCUUCACUGACUCUAUUUUCGGACUCCGCCCGCCUGCACCCAGGUGAAAUAAACAGCCUUGUUGCUCACACAAAGCCUGUUUGGUGGUCUCUCCACACGGACGCAUGUGACACAAUGAUCCCCACA
rnacentral:lncRNA from 10 species